rnacentral:rRNA from 1 species
CUGACCUCAGAUCAGGCAAGACUACCCGCUGAACUUAAGCAUAUCAAUAAGCGGAGGAAAAGAAGCCAACAGGUAUUCCCUCAGUAACGGCGAGUGAAGUGGGAACAGCUCAAGCCGUCAAUCUCCGACCUGAGGUCGGCGAAUUGUAGUCUGGAGAAGUGCCGUCCGUGCGACGUCCGGCUGUCUAAGUUGCUUGGAACGGCACAUCGCAGAGGGUGAGAAUCCCGUCCUGGACUGCCGGGCGCGCGCCACGAGGCACUUUCGAAGAGUCGGGUUGUUUGGGAAUGCAGCCCAAAGCGGGUGGUAAACUCCACCUAAAGCUAAACACGGGCACGAGACCGAUAGCGAAA